UACAGAGGUCUCAAGCGUUGUUCGGAUUCAUUGGGCGUAAAGGGUGCGUAGGUGGCAGGGUAAGUCGGAUGUGAAAUCCCGGGGCUCAACCUCGGAACUGCAUUCGAUACUGCUUUGCUGGAGUACUGGAGAGGAGAUUGGAAUUUACGGUGUAGCAGUGAAAUGCGCAGAUAUCAGGAGGAACACCGGUGGCGAAGGCGGGUCUCUGGGCAACAACUGACGCUGAGGAGCGAAAGCGUGGGGAGCGAACAGG
rnacentral:rRNA from 1 species